CCUUUUUUUAAUACUCCGUUCACCUUUUUGCUGUCCACAAACUCACUUUAGCUCGACUUAGUGGAAGGAUCUUAGCACCAAUACUCAGUUCUGGAAUGAAACCUUAGCCAUGCGAAUAAAGCUUAUCCAAGGCUGGGUCACAGGAGCCCAGACUUCCCUCUCCACGGCUACUUCAGGCGGAUCCUGAUGUGUUCCCAGGCCAGCUGAGAAACAUAGUCUCUCCAACAUGUCCUGGGUCUUUCCCGAGGCCUCAUACCGGUCGGACGUGGCCUGAACACCUCUCCAGGGAGUCAUCCGGGAGGCAUGCUGACCAGAUGCCUGAGCUACCUCAUCUGGCUCCCCGCAAUGCAAAGGAGCAGCGGUUCUACUCCGAGUUCCUCCCAGAUCUUUUGCAGCUGGGCUGCCCUGCUUCACUUGGAAGCAUCAACAAAGCGUGAAGUGGCCACUCUAAUCUGGCUCCAGCAAUUGUUCCGGUCCCUGACUUCUGUUUCAUUGUGUCCACACCUCGUGGCCACCUAUUCUUUCCUGCCUCAAUGGGGAUGUCCAGCACGAGCGCCACAAUGGGCCUGGGAGAUCUCCCCAGGCAUUGCAAAACUUCUGUCCCAGCAACGCAUUCGUCAUUGGGGGAGCCAUCGAGUGAGGUGGCGAAAUACAGAUUUAUCUCACGCUAGCAGAUAUUAGAGAGCAGUAUCAGUAUGACUGAAUCGCUGUUCUUUUCGGAUUUGGUUGCUUCUUCUGUUGCCGCUCGCACACAAAUGCCUUCCCUGGAGAGACAAUUUAGGAUUUAAGUUUGCUGCAACUGAAGGAGUGUUAACAUUCUUUUUCCUGAAUCCAGUCGGUUCUGAUCGCUUGUAGAAUGCUAAUGUUUGAAAUUUUUCCAAAAGGCACAAAGGAAAGCGGGACAAGAGCCCAACUCUGACAACGUGAUGACGUUAUAUGAUGGAUUAUUUUGGUUUACUUACGUUACAGCUCCAUCACAGACGGUUACCACCACCCCUGUGACAUCAUAGUAGGGUAAUCCCUUGCCACUUUGAGCUUCAAAUUUAAAAUCCGGCCCAUUAUUAGAUUGCUAGACAGCUAAAUAGACAGAUACUUUAUGCAUUUCCAAGAUAAAUUACAAAUUAUUAUAAUUAAAUAUAAAUUAAGUAUAAUCUCAUAUUAUAGUAUAAUAUCAUUAAUAAAUUACUAAUAUUACAAUUACAUGUGUAAGCAAAUUUGUCUUUUUUUUGGUGUAAAUUAUUCAUUUUUAAGCGUAAAAAUAACUCCAUGAACUACAAUAUAAUUCCAAUAUAAAAAACAUUCAGAAAACACAUUGAAAAAUAUGUAGUAUUCUACACUGGUCACUAGGUGUCAGUAAUGUUCCAUUAGCCACAGCUAGAAGUCCCAGAAGUAAGAAAAAAACAAACUCACAAACGUGGGAGUAUAUUAUGUCUUAUUUUUUCUUAUUAUACUACAUUGGGUAAUAGGAGUGUAAAGGUGACUACACGAGGUAGGGGUGUUAGCUCAUGUCUAGAGGGCUCUAGUGAUGUUUUCUUUAACUAAUAUACGAUAAACGAGGGAUGACAGUAGCAUAAUAAUCAUGUUGAAUUGGGUGUACCUGGUAGAAAACGUCAUAAUAGUGGGUUCAUUUCAGUAGAUCCCCACCUUUUCCACCCACAAAUGGCAAACAACCCAGGAAUGGAACAAGAGAACAAUUCACUCACAAAAUUCAAACUUGCUUGGUUACAGUAGCUCAAUUGCAGAAGAAAAAGAAAAAGACUCUUAAAUAAAGUGCAGUGCGAUGUGAAUAAAACAUAAUACAAUAAACAAACCCCGCCUGUCGCCCGAAGUCAGCUGGGAUAGGCUCCAGCAUGCCCCCUCGACUCUAAAGAGGAGAAGCGGUAUAGAAGAUGGAUGGAUGGAUGGAUGGACAAUAAACAGAAUAUACGACCAAACAAGAUUUGGAAUUUUAGAAAGAGUGUGUAAAAAUAUAAGCACAUUUAUACUUUACACAAGGGAGGAGCAGGCAGGACAGCGCAAUAAUGUUGUUGCUUUUCUUUUACAGGCAGGUGAGGUAUUGUACAGCUGGAUGGCGUGUGGGAUUUCUACGAUAUUUCGACAUUUCAGUUCAGCUUCAGAAUUUCUGCUGCUUCUUCAAGUAAAAUGUAAAUGUUACAAAUGUUAAAACGUGAGCUUUUUUAACAGUGCUACAUGUGUGCGGCACCCCCCCAUUAAAACAUAACUGAGAUUAAUUGAGAUCUAUCUGUCUGGAAGAGUGCAGUCAUUUCUAAAGCUUUGGGACUCCAGCCAACCACAGUGAGAGCCAUUAUCCACAAAUGGUGAAAACAUGGAACAGUGGUGAACCUUCCCAGGAGUGGCCGGCCAACCAAAAUGAGCCCCAAGAGCGCAGCAACGACUCAUCCGAGAGGUCACAAAAGACCCCACAACAACAUCCAAACAACUGCAGGCCUCACUUGCCUCAGUUAAGGGCAGUGUUCAUGACUCCAUCAUAAGAAAGACGCUGGGCAAAAACGGCCUGCAUGGCAGAGUUCCAAGACCAAAACCACUGCUGAACAAAAACAACAUUAAGGUUCAUCUUAAUUUUGCCAGAAAACAUCUUGAUGAUCCCCAAGACCUUUGGGAAAAUACUAAUAACUUUUUGUUUUUGUUUGUGUCGCAUUAUAUCUGGCGUAAAAGUAAUGCCGCAUCAUCAUACCAACAGUAAAAUAUGGUGGUGGUAGUGUGAUGAUCUGGGGCUGCUUCCCAACAUGGAAGACUUGCUGUGAUAAAUGGAACCGCAAAUUCUGCUGUCUGCCAAAAAGGAUCCUGAAGAAUUGUCCGGCCAUCUGUUGGUGACCUCAAGCUGAAAGCAACUUGGGUUGUGCAGCAGGACAAUGAUCCAAAACACACCAGCAAGUCCACCUCUGAAUGGAUGAAGACUUUGGAGUGGUCUAGUCCAAGUCCUGACCUGAAUCCUAUUGAGAUAAUCAGAAAAAGUUUCAUUUAAAAACUGCAUUUUGUGUAUAGUUGUGUUGUCAUUGACUAAUAUUUUAAUUUGUUUGAUGAUCUGAAACAUUUAAGUGUGACAAACAUUCAAAAAACAUUUCACACCACUGUAUAUUUUAUAUAUAUAUAUGUAUAUGUAUAUUUUAUAUAUAUUUGUUUCCGAAGCAUGCUUCAUUUCAACUUGACAUCUUCACAAAGUCCUCGUCUUAUUACAAGUUUAUGUUCGUAAAAAGAUGACGGUAUUCUCGGAUAUGUGACUUUUAUCUCAUAAUUCUGAUUUCUCUCUCUUUUAUUGCCCCAGUGUUCUUUGUCUAACAUAAUUUUUUUUUUAUGCAUCAGAUUUUUUACAUUUCUUUAUAAAGAAAUUAAAAAGGAGGCCAUAAAUACAAGCAGAAAGCACAGUUAAACCUUAAUCCGACUCUUACGAGGGGAAAAGGGCUUCAAACAGUAGAUCUAAGUAUGCUUUUUAUUAUUCAUGUGUAGUCUAGGAAGAGGCCAAAUAAUUUUGUGAUGUGUGGCUAUGAUAAGCCACACAGUAUUUAUGGAAAAGCUGUCAAGACAGCAUUCUCUCUCCUCAGUUAUUGCUGAUAUAUUCCGCUGUCACACACUGGAUUAUAUGACACGACGGCAUUAUACACCUCCGGUGCCCAAGAUGGAUAAGCUUUGAAAGAUAUGAUGGCAAACCCCAUACAGGCAUGUCAUUAAACAAGGGCAAGUGAGCGAACACAAUAACGGAUCACUCACCAGAGCUGAGGUCCUGGCCUUCGACGAACCAAACCAAAGACAAAUGGCUUGCUUCAGUCACCGGUGUUGCUUUUAACUUUGCGUGGUGCUGCCAAGACAAAUGGGCAGUCAUGAUAAAACUGAGGGAGAAUGUGCUUUAUUAGAAUGCAACAUAGUGGAUGUGAAAUAACUUUGUUGCAGCGGGUUUGAGAUCCCUUUGUUGAUUUUGACACACUUGCAUGAGUCGUACUUGACACUUAUAUUUGGGAUUUUCUUCUCCCAAGCAGUCAUUCUUCCCUCUUGUUACCUAGUCCUCCAAAAAAAUACUAAAGCGCGCAAAUCCAAGUAGGGCACAGCAUUCUGUGUAAUUAAGUCGAACAAAAUGCACAGUGGGUUUAAACAUGCAUUUUCAAGUGGCCUAAAUUUAGACACUCAUUAUGGUAUCUAGUGGCAAAUAGUGCUUAUCUAUUCAGUUACAGGAUGCUCUGUUUAGACCAUCCAUGGAGGAACUGCUGACACGGGGGGAUUUGGCUCUUAUUGCAUAUCGUUACAUGAAUGAAAUAUGUGUAUGAUUACAUGCAUGAGGUGGAAAUACGAGUCGCCAAUUUAGGUCUGUUUGCCUGGCUGAUGUUAACUUGUUAGCUAACCAAGAUGCCGUUCUUCAUUAAAAAAUGUUCAAUAUAUUAAAUAGGGGUGUAGGAUAAUUAUAUCAGGGAAUUAUGACAUCGUAACGAUGAAUCAAAUAACAUUAAAAAUAGAUCUGAUAACCACAAAAAAAAAAACGCUCCAAUGAGGCGCGAUUACUGUGCAGGUGAGCAAAUCAAGCGUCCCAUUUUUCUCCUGCCUGUGAUGUUAACAGCCUGUCAUAAGGAAGGAUGUUAUACCAAAUGCUCGGCGAUCAGGGGGGAAAAAAAACAUUGUACACAAAAAAACCUUAUCAGCCACCUGAAACACCAGCGCUGUGGCAUUUUCAAAAGUGCAAAAGGUUUGCCCAGACAGCACAAACUAAAGUUAAAUCUAAAUAAAGUAAAAAAAAAAAAAACAUGUAAAUUGUGAUCAGGAGUGUAUUAAAAAAUAAGAGCAAUAUCAUUGGUUACAGCAUCAGCAUGGAAGAGCCCAGAAUGAUGGGCGUAGAGAACAUAGAAAGCAGUUGCUGCGCCCCUCCAGAAAGUGAAGGUCAAGCUUGUGUGUGUGAGAGAGAACGUGUAUUUUUCCAUCAAUCAUAUGUACCUGUUGCACAAUUCUGAUUGUGCUAUGUGAGCGUGUGUGUGUCAAGAAGGCCUUCUAUGAGAAGCUCUUCGACUGAAAGUGCACUGAGCUAAUAUACUGCAUCUGAAGGUGUUUAUUACAGUUUAUUACCAGACUGCAAUGUGUUGAUAGUACCCCUACCACAGCAAUUCUUCCCUUAAAAAAGCCAAAUUUCCCUCACUAACGUGCACUGCAGUAGUGAUGAAACCAGUCCCUCACAAUUCUGUUAAGUGUCGACACAUACGGCACCACACGUGUUCACCAAUCAGAAAAAAAGGCAAGAAAAAAGAACAACUUCUUGUUCACUUCAAAGAACCGGCUCCCAUUGUUUACUUCUAAGAGCCGGCUGUGAGACCCGUUUCCUUUGCGUACGACCCACAUCUGCACUGCAGUGUACAGAUGCAAGUUGUGAUUGACACGAUCCUUUCCAACUGUUUUCCCAACCAACGGUGUUUUUUGGGCAAAUAUAGUAGAUGAAGAUGGAGAAAAAGAAAACAUGUCUGCCUUAGAGGAUUUCUGGAUUCGCGCCUCCCAAUCAAUCUGCACUCAAGUCAAAGCAAAAAAGGUUUUUAUCACCAAAUCGUUCAUGGCCAUGAAAAACAACCAAUAUAAUUCUUUACUUUUGACACUUCCAUCCACCCCAUUCUGACAGCUGUCUGCUUCCCAUCUCUUCUAUUCCCUUUGGCGUGUUCUUCACACUCUCCAAAACAUUUGUGUUCCUCUCACACGCGACAACAGCACAGCAGAGGCCUGCUGUGAUACCAAAAUCAUUUAUCGCUUCGUAUGUCCCGUGCUGCUCUCCAGGGGGUGCUGCGUUGUGUUAAUGGAAUGCAAAAGAGCCAUUUGGACAUACAGUACCUGGGAUGGAUUCUUGCACUCUAAGAACCCUCAAGGAGUCUUUUUAUACAAUAUUUGUUCUGGAAAAGGUCAUUGCUUUUUAUGGCUUAAGAGUGGGCAACGUCUCGUUUCACCCGAUCAGUUAGUCAGUAAUUCCUGAUUCCCAUGAGUAAUAUUGCACACAAAGAUAUAUUCCUCUCAGCUGAAAGUUACUGUGGGAACACUUAAUCAGCAUAUAUUCACCAACAAAUAGUUUGAGUCUCGAAAAUAUUAUAAGUGGUCGGCCGUGGCUCAGGAGGUAGAGCAUGUUGUCCAGAAACCGGAAGGAUGGCGGUUGGAUCAUUGCUAACUAGUUGCUAUUCUAGCGGCGGCCGUCUGUUAUGUCCCUGCAUUGAUCCCGUAGUCUACUAAUAAUAGGAGUGUAAAAGUGGGGCGUUGGUUCAUGUCUACAGGCCUCUACUAAUGUUAAAACCAGUAUUUACAAAGUCACAAACAGGUUUUCUAUACUCUUAACUAUGAAAACAUUCUGUUUAUUAAUAUUAAAUCCUACUUCGCGGAAAUUCACUUAUCGCGGUCAGGUAUUAAAAAUGCUGCACACCCCCACACAAACCGUGAUUCACACAAGUCGGUGUGCAAGUAGGACACAGGACUUGAUGCAAGUAUGUUGAGUUUGAAACAAAUCUUCAUAGAUGCAUUUAUUUUUUAAAAAGCAUUUUUAUACUAUUUUACUAUACCUGUACAUUGGACAGGAAAUGGCGAGGAACAGACUUGGCCGCCAUGCUCCACUCACCUCCGGUGAUGAAAACUCAUGUUUCACAUCACCCGUCUGUUUAAUGCACCCUGUAUAAAUGCAAAAGUGAUGCUAUAAAUUACCUCAGAGGAGUUGGCUUAUGUAUGAGGCGUGUAAUUUUGGGGCACUUCCUGUCUCCACUAGGUGGGACUGGGAUUAAUUAUGUGAUUAAUUAUGGAAGGGACGUAUGGAUCUCUCCAGGGUGUCAUAUUCAUCAUACACACCAUUUAUGAUCAAAGUCUGACCUCGUGGAGUUAUUCCAGUUUGGCAUUGCUUCACGAGUCAUCAAAGGUACCUCCCACAUGUGAUGCCGUUGCCUAAAAUCCUUUGCGAUCAUUCGGGCAAAUUCCCGGUGAAUAGAUAAAGUACGA